UUUGACCUCAGCUCAGUC
rnacentral:rRNA from 1 species